ensembl:lncRNA
AUGCACAGCGCAAUGUUUUACGAGUGUAUUAAUUUGUCAUCAGCAAUUUCAGAUGAGACUCUGGACUUUCUUUUGGUAAUAGAUCAAACCCCAGUUGGCAGUGCAGCGGUCGCCGACGUGGCAGAGUGCGGGAAGGGGAAUCAGAGGAGAAGUAAGAGGUUGCAGCAUGAGAUCAUAGGAGUCACACUGAGCCACCAGAUCCAGUCUGUAUCCAGAUCAGAGGGUCACUGCAGUCACCCGGAUCCAGUACGUAUCCAGCCCAGAUGGUGGAUCAGCACCUAGAAAGGACCUCUACAGCCCUGAAAGACAGCGGAGGCCUGGACAACUAGAUGAGCCGCAGAGACAGAUCCCCUGUGAAGACCUUGUCUCAGACGACCAUCAGGACAAGACCACAGGAAACAGAUGAUUCUUCUGCACAAUCUGACUUUGCUGCAGCCUGGAAUUGAACUGCUGGUUUCAUCUGGCCAGAGGAGAACUGGCCCCCCGAAUGAGCCUGGUUUCUUCCAAGGUUUUUUCUCCAUUCUGUCACCGAUGGAGUUUUGGUUCCUUGCCACUGUCACCUCUGGCUUGCUUGUUGCUUGCUAGUUGGGGACACUUCAUUUACAGCGAUAUCGUUAACUUGAUUGCAAAUGAUUGCACAGAUACUAUUUAAACUGAACUGAGAUGAAUGACAUCACUGAAUUCAAUGAUGAACUGCCUUUAACUGUCAUUUUGCAUUAUUGACACACUGUUUUUCUAAUUAAUGUUGUUCAGUUGCUUUGACACAGUCUUUAUUGUUUAAAGCGCUAUAUAAAUAAAGGUGACUUGACUCCUCAGAGAUGCAUUUGUGCUUGAACAUUUCCAAUUUUCUUAUGUAAGGUGGUGUUGAUAUGGAAGGUAGAUGUGGUGACAGUAACUCAGCAGCUUAAAUAACUUGUUAAUGGAGCAGCUACAUUAUUUUUGUUGUGAAUUAUUGUUGUAGUGAAAGCAAAAUGGUAGAUUUACUGUUUGUUAUGUGACUUAAUAUUGCACACAUGGAAAAAUGUGCACUUUUCCUAAAAGGUCCUUCCGUUUUUAAAAGUAAUAUUUAGAUAGAUUCUUCUGUUUACUUUAUAGAUCGAGUUUAUUAAACAAGGUCAUUUUUACAACCUAAAUUCACUUUUAUUCAUUUUGUUAGUUGUAUUUAUAUAUGUUUAAGCCUUGUCUUAACCUAUGAUUUUGUGCCAGAUAUAUUAUGACUAUAAAUAUAAACAUAUCUUAUCUGAUAAGGAAAAUGAAUGGGGUCCAAAACAACAUUGGA